AUUGAACGCUGGCGGCAUGCCUUACACAUGCAAGUCGAACGGCAGCACGGGAGCAAUCCUGGUGGCGAGUGGCGAACGGGUGAGUAAUAUAUCGGAACGUGCCCAGUAGUGGGGGAUAGCCCGGCGAAAGCCGGAUUAAUACCGCAUACGACCUGAGGGUGAAAGCGGGGGAUCGCAAGACCUUGCGCUAUUGGAGCGGCCGAUAUCAGAUUAGCUUGUUGGUGGGGUAAAAGCCUACCAAGGCGACGAUCUGUAGCUGGUCUGAGAGGACGACCAGCCACACUGGGACUGAGACACGGCCCUGACGCCUACGGGAGGCAGCAGUGGGGAAUUUUGGACAAUGGGCGCAAGCCUGAUCCAGCCAUGCCGCGUGCGGGAAGAAGGCCUUCGGGUUGUAAACCGCUUUUGUCAGGGAAGAAACGGCUCUUGGUAAUACCGAGAGCUAAUGACGGUACCUGAAGAAUAAGCACCGGCUAACUACGUGCCAGCCGCCGCCGUAA
rnacentral:rRNA from 1 species